GGGCCCGCACAAGCGGUGGAGCAUGUGGUUUAAUUCGAUGAUACGCGAGGAACCUUACCAGGGCUUAAAUGUAGUGGGACAGGUCUAGAGAUAGACCCUUCUUCGGACUCAUUACAAGGUGCUGCAUGGUUGUCGUCAGCUCGUGCCGUGAGGUGUCAGGUUAAGUCCUAUAACGAGCGCAACCCCUAUCGUUAGUUGCCAGCGAGUAAUGUCGGGAACUCUAACGAAACUGCCAGUGCAAACUGUGAGGAAGGUGGGGAUGACGUCAAAUCAUCACGGCCCUUACGUCCUGGGCUACACACGUGCUACAAUGGCCGGUACAGAGAGCAGCCACUUCGCAAGAAGGAGCGAAUCUCACAAAACCGAUCGUAGUCCGGAUUGCAGUCUGCAACUCGACUGCAUG
rnacentral:rRNA from 1 species